rnacentral:rRNA from 1 species
AUCCUGUCUGAAGAUGGGGGGACCAUCCUCCAAGGCUAAAUACUCGUAAUCGACCGAUAGUGAACCAGUACCGUGAGGGAAAGGCGAAAAGAACCCCGGGAGGGGAGUGAAAUAGAUCCUGAAACCGUAUGCAUACAAACAGUGGGAGCGGACUUGUUCCGUGACUGCGUACCUUUUGUAUAAUGGGUCAGCGACUUACAUUCAGUAGCAAGCUUAACCGAUAGGGGAGGCGUAGCGAAAGCGAGUCCGAAUAGGGCGUUCAGUUGCUGGGUGUAGACCCGAAACCAAGUGAUCUAUCCAUGGCCAGGAUGAAGGUGCCGUAACAGGUACUGGAGGUCCGAACCCACAAAUGUUGAAAAAUUUGGGGAUGAGCUGUGGAUAGGGGUGAAAGGCUAAACAAACUUGGAAAUAGCUGGUUCUCUCCGAAAACUAUUUAGGUAGUGCCUCGUAAAUCACUCUUGGGGGUAGAGCACUGUUAUGGCUAGGGGGUUCACAAGAACUUACCAAACCAUUGCAAACUCCGAAUACUGAGAAGUGCAAUUACGGGAGACAGUCCAUGGGUGCUAACGUCCGUGGACAAGAGGGAAACAACCCAGACCGCCAGCUAAGGUCCCAAAUGACGUGCUAAGUGGAAAACGAAGUGGGAAGGCAUAGACAGCUAGGAGGUUGGCUUAGAAGCAGCCACCCUUUAAAGAAAGCGUAAUAGCUCACUAGUCGAGUCGUCCCGCGCGGAAGAUGUAACGGGGCUAAGCACGUAACCGAAGCUGCGGACGCAUUUAAUGCGUGGUAGGAGAGCGUUCUGUAGGUCUGUGAAGGUGUUCUGUGAGGAAUGCUGGAGAUAUCAGAAGUGCGAAUGCUGACAUGAGUAGCGAUAAAGGGGGUGAAAAGCCCCCUCGCCGAAAGCCCAAGGUUUCCUGCGCAACGUUCAUCGGCGCAGGGUGAGUCGGCCCCUAAGGUGAGGCAGAGAUGCGUAGCUGAUGGGAAACAGGUUAAUAUUCCUGUACUUUAAUAUGAUGCGAUGUGGGGACGGAGAAGGUUAGGUCAUCCAACUGUUGGAAUAGUUGGUUCAAGCGUGUAGGGAGAUCUCUUAGGCAAAUCCGGGAGGUCAAUUCUGAGACGUGAUGACGAGGCACUUCGGUGCUGAAGUGAUUGAUACCAUGCUUCCAAGAAAAGCCACUAAGCUUCAGUCAUAUUAGAACCGUACCGCAAACCGACACAGGUGGGCAGGAUGAGAAUUCUAAGGCGCUUGAGAGAACCCGGGAGAAGGAACUCGGCAAAUUUGCACCGUAACUUCGGGAGAAGGUGCGCCCCGGUAGGUUGUAGAGAUUUACUCUCGAAGGCCGAUGGGGUUGCAGUGAAAAGGUGGCUGCGACUGUUUAAUAAAAACACAGCACUCUGCAAACACGAAAGUGGACGUAUAGGGUGUGACGCCUGCCCGGUGCCGGAAGGUUAAUUGAUGGGGUGCAAGCUCUUGAUCGAAGCCCCGGUAAACGGCGGCCGUAACUAUAACGGUCCUAAGGUAGCGAAAUUCCUUGUCGG